GAUCCUGACUCAGGAUGAACGCUAGCGGCAGGCUUAACACAUGCAAGUCGAGGGGCAGCGGGGUGUAGCAAUACACUGCCGGCGAUCGGCGCACGGGUGCGUAACGCGUAUGCAACCUACCCAUAACAGGGGCAUAACACUGAGAAAUUGGUACUAAUUCCCCAUAACAUUCGAAGAGGCAUCUCUUUGGGUUGAAAACUCCGGUGGUUAUGGAUGGGCAUGCGUUGUAUUAGCUAGUUGGUG
rnacentral:rRNA from 1 species